UGUAUAAGAGACAGGCGUAAUAGCUCACUAGUCGAGUUGUUUUGCACUGAAAAUGUAUCGGGGCUGAACAGAAACACCGACGCGCUGGUUUUAUAUUUUAAAAGGUAGCGAAGCGUUUUGUACGCCAAAGAAGUAUUUUCAGAAGAAAAUACUGAGGUAUCAAAAGUGACUAUGCUGACAUGAGUAACGAAAAUCAUGUACAAUCAUGAUCACCGUAUGUUCAAGGGUUUCUGCGUCCUGGUUUACAGCGCAGAGUUAUGUCCGGUCCCUAAGAGACACACGCACUCGUGUGCUUAAUGGAUGUCAUUUAUGUAAGACGGUACGUACUUCUAAAAACUACAAUUGGAUAUGGUGUAUAGUAAGUAGGUAUCCAGGAAAAUUCAUAAAUAUAUUGACCGUACCCUAAACCGACACAGGUGAACGAGUCGAAUAGACUCAGGUGAUGAGAGAACCACAUUGAAGGAACUCGGCAAAAUAUUCCCGUACCUUAGGAAGAAGGGAUACCGAAAGGUGACACAAAAAUGGGGGUGACGACUUUUUACUAAAAAAUUAGGACUCUGCAAAAUGGUAACAUGCUGUAUAGGGUCUGACGUCUGCCCGGUGCUAGAAGUCUAAAAGGCGCAUUGCAAGAUGCAAAUGGAAAGCCUAGUAAACGGCGGUUGUAACUAUAACAAUCAUAAAGUAGCGAAAUUCAUUGCCAGCUAAUUCCUGGCCUGCAUGAAAGACGUAACGAUUGCCCCACUGUCUCCAGUAUGGACUCAGUGAAAUUGAAUUCUCCGUGCAGAUGCGGAGUACGUGCCCCAAGACGAGAAGACCCUGUGCAUCUUUACUGUACAUUUACAUUGACAAAACCAUACGUAUGUGUAGGAUAGGUGGGAGUACAAACAUCCUUGAAAUACCACCCUUACUAUGUUUUUUGUCUAACAUCGGAGAUAGACAAUGUAUGUGAGGCAGUUUGACUGGGGCGGUCGCCUCCUAAAGAGUAACGGAGGCGUGCGAAGGUAAACUCAAUGUAGAUCGGAAACCUACUGAAGAGCGUAAUGGUAUAUGUUUGCCUGACUGCAAGAUUUACAGAUCGAGCAGAGACGAAAGUCGGUCAUAAUGAUCCACAAGUACUGCGUGGAAAGGCUUGUGCUUAACGAAUCAAAGAUACGCCAGGGAUAACAGGCUGAUAAUUCCCUAGAGUCCAUAUCGACGGAAUUGUUUGGCACCUCGAUGUUGACUGAUCAUAUCCUGGGGCUGAAGAAGGUCCCAAGGGUUCGGCUGUUCGCCGAGUAACAUGGUACCUGAGUUGAGUUUAGAACGUCGUGAGACAGUUUGGAUUCUACCUGGGGUGCGCGUAAAAGAAUUGUGAAAACCACGUCCUUGUACGAGAGGACCGGAUGUGUACAACCUCUGGUAUAGUAAUUGUCCGGCCACGGGCAUGGUUACUACGCUACGUUGUGAAAGGAUAAGUACUGAAAGCAUAUCAAGUACGAAACUUUUUUCAAGACAUAUUCUUUAUCGUAUUGUAUAUCGUACAAGUUGAGUACGUUAAUAGAUAAGCUGUGUAUUAUUUGUAAAAAUAGAAGCAUCCUUAUACUAAACUAUACAUUUUUUUUUCUGU
rnacentral:rRNA from 1 species